CCUUUUUCUCUUUUUUCAGGUUUAUUUGUUCCUGAAAAUGUUCGCAUUAGUUUGUGUGCAGAAAAUAUAGAUUUAGAGCAUUGCAAACGGGAGAUUGUUAAAGGAAACGAGUGGAACCGCUUCUGGAAGCUACAGAUGACUGGACAUUUCGUUUAACAGGUCAAACCCGUCGGUUGAUCCACUCUAGCCGGUCGUUUAACGUCUUUUUGUGAGUGUGUGUGUAUGUGAAAAGUGUGUUUUAAGUGAAUUUUAAAUCGUCUCUUAGUCUCUUCCGGGCUCGAGACUCGCAUCGCAACAACGAACACCGGAAGAAAAAUAGUUCCAGGGAAUUCUCCCCCCAAACCCUUCGUCGCAGUGCACGUGUGAAACGGUCUCGAACCGACUCCCCUCCCCGCACCCAAGUGGCCGCCCGUGCUGUCGGGUUUGAAAAACGAAAAAGAAUUGCCACCCAUUAGUCACAAUCAGAAGAGAAGUGCUCGGGGUGAAGGUGAAAAUCAAGUGUCGUCGGUUGGUGAAAGAGACACUCCGAAGUGCUGUCCUGACCACUCGACAGGGGUCGUCCGUUCUCGAAUAGCGUGUGGUUCGACGCAAGGGGUCAGAGGGCAGUAGCGAGCAACCUCCGAGCAUCACCAGCGUCUAGCUGCGGGAAAAUUGUGAUUUAUUUUAUUUGUGUUCAUAUUUUUUUCCCGGGGAUCGAGUCAAGUUUUGUACAGUUUUCCGGGUCGUUUCGACCCGCGUCUCCGUGGCCUCCAGCGGGCCUCGUUCGACAAAUGAGUUUUAAAAGGGGCCGAAG